UACGUAGGGUGCGAGCGUUGUCCGGAUUUAUUGGGCGUAAAGGGCUCGUAGGCGGUUUGUCGCGUCUGCUGUGAAAUCCCGAGGCUCAACCUCGGGCUUGCAGUGGGUACGGGCAGACUAGAGUGCGGUAGGGGAGACUGGAAUUCCUGGUGUAGCGGUGGAAUGCGCAGAUAUCAGGAGGAACACCGGUGGCGAAGGCGGUUCUCUGGGCAUUACCUGACGCUGAGGAGCGAAAGUGUGGGGAGCGAACAGG
rnacentral:rRNA from 1 species